ensembl:lncRNA
UCCUCCUGUAGAAAUAAUAGAAAGUAAGUAGUAAGUCUUCGAUUUGUGUAAUCACUCAUGACAUUGACAUGGUGUCAACAAAAAAAGCUGAGCUGAAUAAACUCAAACAUUAGAUUAAAUAAGAGAAAGGUUUCCAAAACAGUGAAGAUUUUUCAUAUCAAAAACUUGUAGAGCGAAAUAAGUACAACACUACAUAGCCAUUAUGCACAUUGCUUCCUGCCUCCUACUUCCCAUAAGUUGGCAAUGAUGGAUUGAUCAUCUUUAAACUCUGAUAUGAACAAAAUCCGACUUUUACACUCACACUUCAAACUGAUUAAGACAAGGCAGUGUCAUGUACAAGCUCACAGCAAGUCCCACGCAAGUCACUCCUUCCCUCAAGUAGACAUACAUCUAGCAGCACAACAAUCACACACUUCAUCCAAUCCUGCUGCCAGAUGACAACAUCCAGGCGAACCAGGAUCUUACCUCGGCUGUAUUGUGCGACAUGGCCAGGGUAGUUAGUAAUCCACGCGUUACGAAACAUGUUACAAUGUAAAAAGUACAAGAAAAUAAAAUUUAAACAGAGAUCGGACCAGACAGAGAGAGAGAGAGAGAGAGAGAGACAGGGCAAGACCUCAAUGUGAUGGAAAUGCAGACCCAUGCACAGUCCAGGGGAGGGGAGACAAAUCACAUACACAUAUGAGAGAGAGCAUGAGAGAGAGAGGGCAUGAGAGAGAGAGAGAGAGAGAGAGAGAGAGAGACUGUAAUCUGCAGGCUGUAAUCUGACUGCAGGCAGAAAUUAGCCUGGAUGAUAUAAGUGGAUUCCCAGACUUCUGGCUCAUCUACCAACACACAUGCAGAAGUUUAAAGGUAUUAAAUUACCAGGACUACAGCUGAUGGUCUGUAAAGGUGAAUCACUAGCUGGUAUCAAAUUACUUAUAAAAAAUGAUGGCAACAGUAAAUUAGUGUGUGAGUGAGAGUGAGUGAGAGCGCAUAAAAUGUGUAGUCCAGGAUGUGGGUGAGGACUCCCACCUUAGUCAGAAACACAGGAAAAUAUUUCAGUAUAUAUUUGGACAAAUGUACACAACUAUAACAAUACUACCUCUCUCAAUCACUCUCUCUGACACACACGUACACCGGGUUUUCUUGAAAUAUUUCGAGUUCACUAGAGGGUAGAAGUGUGUGAAGGGGGGGGGGUGCAUUAAUAUUCAAAUGGCUGACCCACAGGAGGUACUGUGUGAUUUGAUACCUCAAUUAUAUGUACUUUUUUUUUUAUUUGACUUCUCCACACCACAAACAAGAAAGAGGAAGGGGGGAGAUAAGGAAAGAAGCAGCAAUGAUCUUUUCAUAUUAGAAAAACAACCGAUUUGUAAGUAUCUCUUCCAGGACAGCAAUAAAAAUCAAAGAAUUUUCUGUCAUUUAAAUAACCCAGUCUGUAAAUUUUUUUGCAACUUUGUUAAUAAAUUGAUAUCUUUAGACCAAAAGAUCAUUAUAAUUUCUUAAACACAGUUAAACACUUGUUUACAUAAAAUAAAUAAAUAAACAAAUAAAUAAACACACACACACACACACACACACACACACACAGUGUCCUCAUCCCUGGCCUUUCACUGAAGAUCCCCUUAAUAAGGUAAUGUGUAUUGUGAUUGGUCAGGAGGCCAGUAAGUGGGUGGGGCAACCUUGUUUAUCCUGCUGCUUUGUCCACGUGCUCUCCUGUGCACUUUCCUUUAGUCUGCUGCUCAUCUGGAUCAUCGGUUGUUCUUUUUCUUACCACUUUCAUACCUUUGGGUCUUUCUUCUUUUCAACUCACAUGUCUGUUUUCAUCUUCAUCACCACUACCUUGCCACUUUACUACCAUCACUCCUAAAUAUUGCACAAUCAGCCACACACUCACCCUCAGACGCAAAUAAACAAACUUCUGCGUAAUCCUGACACGCGCUCUGCUCACAUGCACGCUAUUUUUAAGCUUAAGUGAUAUCCCUUAAAACACUUAAACCAUACAGACACGUAGAUGCUGCUACUCAUACCUUUAUUACUGCAAUAAUUCUGCAUCCAAAGUAUCUGGUCUUAUAUUUCUGGAUUUUCUUAAAGAACCAUUGCAAACAGCAAUUUCACUCAAUAGCAUAGCUAUGUUCAGGACAAACUAAUGAGUCUAAAAGGAAAUUCUUAAUUUUUAAAGAACUAAAUUGAUAGAAAUAUAUAUUUUUAAAGGAUAAUUAUAGUUCUGCUGUAAGAUUCUUGAUAUACGCAUACCUGUGAUCUCAUCGCAAUAACUGAUUUCUGCCUUAAUGUGCCAGGUUUUAAACGAAUAAAAUUGCUACACUUAAAAGCCAAUGUUCUAUCCAUAUAAUGCCAUUAUCUUUGUAUGUUAUUUUGCUUAGCAACUAAAGCUUACUGAUAACUUGAUUAAAACGUAUCCUAUUGUUUCGUUGUUUUAUAAAAGCAAUGUCAGGAGAAGGCGUGCAUUACAGUGAUUUUAUCAUGGGUAAUGAGGUUUUAGGCACUCUGUGUCUUGUGCCCAAGAACACUGUUCCUUGUGACAAAAUGAUUAUAAUGCACACCCUUGAGAGAGAGAGAGAUAGAGAGAGAGAGAGAGAACACCCGCGAGGGAGUGAGUCUGAUUCUCUCUCUCCUCUGUCUGUAUAUACAUGUAGAACUGUAUCAUAGUAUUUAAGAAAUCUAAAGUCUAAAUAGUUUCUAUAUAUUCCACCUUUGUUUUUUAUUAUUGCAUAUAUUUUGGAUUUUUUUUUACAUUUCUUUCAGAUAACUUUAUUAUAAUUAUUAGAUAUUAGUAAUAAUUGUUAUUAGAAUUAUUAGAAAAGUUGACAUUUAUAGGCCUGUGUUGGAUCAAACCCCUUCAGAUCAACCGUAUAUGUUAAUAACUAAGAAGAUCAAAUAAGUUAAUAACUAUAGUUAGUAAUUAUAGACAUUAAUAGAAAUAUAACAACUUUACAAAUUAGUUUUAAAAUAGUUAAAGCAGCAGCCCCCUCCUAACUAUGCUUCCCAGACCACACUUUGAGAACAUAAGAAUACACAACAUAAAUAAGACCAGGGAGGGGGGAUCCAGUACUGUGAUAGAGUCCUACAAGAGGCAUGUGCAUGCCUUUAAAAUGGAUUUGUUUAUCCAUGUAGCAUAUGACUAAUCUGGUAAUCUUCUCCAGAUAGAUUCAAAUCUUUGUACAUGAAAAAUUGCCAUUUCAGUUAAGACAAAGAAAACUAGCAGGCCCAAUAAAAGCAUUGUGGAAAGUUUCUUUGUUUGGACAGCAGAGUGCAGAGGAAACAAAUUUCAGAUUGCAUUCUCAAACAUUAACCACAGAUUACCAGCAUACAUACAUGCACACCUGUCAAUUUUACAUUCCACCACAUAAGCCUUUGGAAGGUCUACAAGACUACAACCAUUAAAUCAGUGAUGCCUGGUGGUGAUAGGGGGGUUAAAUAUAUCAGUAGCUCAACAGUGAAUCUAUUAGGGCUGAAUAAUGCAGUACAUCACAAGGUCUCACUGAUAGCAUAAUAAGAAUGGUGAGAUUGGCAGUCGUAUUCGUGAUUUCUGAGGGGUUUUUUGUACAUAUUUCAAGUUCAUGAAGGUUUCAAUGUAGUGUUUCCUCCCAAUAACAAUCAAGGUAAACAAAGUUGUGACACUCUUGUUCAAACAAAAAACAGUAUUUGUGCAUACUUUUAGUUUCUCCUUCAACAGUAUUCUGGAGGGAAAAGGAUGAAAAUAAUAAUUCACUUCAUUUGAGUUCAUUACACCCACAACUGAAUUUUACAUGAGCUUUCUCAAUCAUUCAUGAGGUGUUACCACAAAAUCUGCUUUAAGACAUUUGUUAAAAGCAAAUGAUUUAAUGUGAAUGCCAAAAAUAUAACCUUAUAUUGAGGUCUUAUUUUUGAAAGAUAGGGAGACUUGUCCCUGCUUUUAUACCAGUCACUCCUGUAUUGUACUGUGUGUAUAGUAUUAUUACACUUGUAUUCAAGUAUCAUAAAGUCCACCAAAAAAAAAAAAGGCGGCAAUUCAUUGUUAAGUCACAAUUAUGUCUGUAAUAGUAGUCAGCCAAAAUUUGAUAGUUGUAACAGGCCUAAUCCAGACAGCAGGUUUCUUUGAGACAAUAACUGAAUAAAAUAAUUCUUUUUUUUUUGUGCGUAGUGAAGUUAGAAGUACAUACAUUUUUGUGCUAUUCUUUGUCCUGGACCUCAGAGUGAUUUUUUUUUUCUUGCCGUUUACAUGACCAGAUUUGUAGGGUUUGCAUGUUUACAAGACAGCAUAAGCAUAUAAAUGAUUUGGAACAUGCAGAACUCAGGGCAUAUUUUUGUUCCCCAGUCCAUCUUUCAUCUUAUAUAGGCCAGAAUACAGUUCUGUAGCCUCUUUAUUUAAAAAAAAAAAAAAAAAAAAAAAAAAAUAUUUAAAAAAAAAAAAGAAAGAAAGAUUGAUGAAUAUUUGUGUAUUACAUAUAAAAAAAAUAUGCUACAACACAUGCUAUAUUGUACAUGAAUAUUGUUCAAUUUGGACAUGGUGUAUUUUGUAUAUAUACAAAAAAAACAGUACAUAUUCUAAUAUUUAACAUUUAAAUAUUUCUUGGAAUUUUUUUAUUUCACUACAUUUUUUAUUUGCCUGUUUCAGUGUCUAAAGUACUUGAAUACUAAAAGUGAUUCUGACUUCUAAAUAGGUGGUCAACAAAAAGGUUUUUGGUUUUGUGAACCAUUUUAUCUUUUUAUAAAAACUUAUCCCCAUUUCCUUCAGCCAUGACACAGAGCUUUACACUUCACCAUGAAGACUGCUUUCACAUAACUACUCGAACAGCAGCAUACUUUAUUCACCAAGAUAGCAAGGUAAAAUGGGUAUACUUAUCCCUUUGGGUUUGUAAGAUUUCCUAGCAAUGUGGAUUUAUUUUAUAUUUUGUUUUAGCAUCUCUAUGCAACUUUACUAUAAAUAAACGAACAAAUAUUUUUAAAAAAAAGAUGGGGGGUAGGAUAGCACAAAAUUGUCUUAGCUACAAAUGAAAGGAAAAUUGACCACUCUUUUGGUAGUUAUAAGGGAUAGGGUCAAAUUAUUUGAAUUGUUAAGGCAUUACUCAAUUAAUAUUUGAACAGUACAACAGUAAACCAAUUCGAUCCUGGGCUCAGGUUAUUGUGUGUAGAGUUUCACAUGUUCUCCUUGUGACAAUGUUGGCUACCCCCAGGUUCUGUGGCUUCCUUCCUCACCCGAAAAACAAACCACUAGGUGAACUAGCUAUGCGAAUCUGAACGUGCGUUAGUGUGUAUGCCCUGUGAUGGACUGGCCUCCUUUCCAGAAUGUCCAUGCCUCAUGCAAGUGUUUCCAGGACAGGCUACAGAGCCACUGGGACCCUGACUGUGAUAAAGUAAAGUAAUGUGGGUUACUUUGUAAUGCAUAGCAUGUGCAAACAUACACUGAUCUAGACGAAAUAUUUUGUGCCAUACAUAUCAUUUUUGUGUGCCUGUGUGUAGGAGUUUGAAUAUUUAAAUAACGCCUUGAAAAAUCUGAGUAGUAAUUUUGCCAGGAAUGCCCAUCCCUAAUUCUCAUCCAUAUCAGGAGGAGUGUAGCCACAUAUAAAGCCACCUACAUUAAAAAGAACAACGUCAAGUUAGCUGAGGCAUCAUUUACGACAUAUUUGGCCAGUAUCUAAUGUCAGAAGAUGACCAUGCAUUCACACACAAAGUGAUUUUUCAGGAAAGCUCAUCAGAUCCUGAGAACAAUAAAUAGAGAAAGAUAAAAUGUGCUAGAUCAUGAUGGCACACUCGUGAUUGUCAAGAUGUAGCUACUGAAAUGCUUAACCAACUACUAAUUAUUCUCCAAAGACCUCUCUCUCUCUCCAAAGACUCCCAGUUCUGCAGAUCACACUACAUCUGUGAUUUCUUUAAAGAUAGCAUUAAUAGUGCAUAAUAGCUCUAAUUGGCCUAUAGUUAUCAAUAACUUUUAAAGGAAGAAUAAGAACAAUUAAAAUACACAUUAUCAUCAAGCAUUAGAUACAUAUCUAAUUUGCUUUAGGUUUGUUUAAAAGUGAUCCGUCUAGCGUAAAUCAUUCAACUUGAACGGUUUUGUAUUUAGUUGGCUUAGUGAAACAUAAUUCCUCCUGUUAACUGCUUAAGAUCAAUUGAGAGGAGAAUCAUAUUUAAUAACAAAAUAAUCCCUCUUGUAAAACUCUCAUCCCCCUUUCUAUUCAUUGGACUCAAUAUAUUUUUAUAUAUAAUUUUAGGCAUCAAUAUAUGAUAGCACUUAAAAUUAUCAAUUAAUAUUCAGAAAUCGUAAAGGAAACUAAAACCUGCUAGUGUAUUUAGGCUAACUGUUAGUACGUGGUUUGCUGGCUAACUUUUCUUACCCCUUCGCUUGGUGAGACUUUUUUAUUUAAUGAUGGAAAAAAAAAGAUAGUUAAUGUACAGUUGUAUGCAGAAGAGCCAAAUUAUAUAUUCUGUAUACAUUUGUCUGUAAACAUUAAUUCACAGUUCCACACCUUGCUUAGCAGUUGACAAGAUUCAUCAUCAAAUGCAGCUCCAUUUUUCUCCAAAUAUACACUAUAUGGCCAAAAGUUUGUGGACACCUAGUCAUAAAACUUGUAUGUGCAUGAUGAAUGUCCCAUUCCAGUUCUAGUCCCCUCUGCUGUUGUAAUACCCUCCUCUCUUCUGGAGAGGCUUUCCGCUAGAUUUGAGAGUGUGUUGCUGUGGGGAUUUGAAUUCAUUCAGCCACAAAAGCUUUAGGGAGGUCAGGCACUGAAUUUGGGUGAGGAGGUCUGGGUUGCAGACAGCGUUCUAACCAGGCUUCCAACACCCAACGGUGUUCCUUUGUUUUUAAGGCAUUAAUUAGCUAAUUUUUAGAUUCUCAAUCAGCUUCUGGAGCUCAUGGUUGAGUGUUAGCACAAGUUUUGAAGAUUCAGGGAAUUUAUUACACCUUGGAAAAGUUAUACAAGUCCUAAUGAGUCAAUUAAGACAUAAUGAGUCUUUAUUGGUCACAUGUACGGUAGAGCACAGUGAAAUUGUUCUCUUCGCAUACCCCAGCCUGUCAGGAAACUGGGGUCAGAGCGCAGGGUCAGCCAUGAUACAGCACACCUGGAGCAGAGAGGGCCUGCCUAACAGUGGCAGCUUGGCAGUGCUGGGACUUGAACCCCCGACCUUCUGAUCAGUAACCCACAGCUUAAACCCUUAACCGCCAAGCCACCUCUGCCCCAUAGACAUAAGGUAAUUAAGUUCUGAGGCUUUACAACUAAGAAGGAUGUCCAAACUUUCACAUGCCACAAUUUUGUUUGAUCUUUUAGAUUAAAUAUAAAGUAACUACAUUAACAUCAAAUGUUAAGGCAGAGGAUGUGAUGUACUACUUUUCAUUUGGCCAUGUAAUUUGGGCAGGGUGCCCAAAUGUUUUCAUAGAACUGUAACUAACUGUGGGGUCUGUUUCUAGGAUAGUUAACUAUAGCCAUUUUGUUGCUUGAACCCAUUAUGAAAGCAGCUCCAGAACAUUUCCUAUUAUUCAACCACUGCUGAAGGCCAGAUCUAAAUUCCUGCUAAGCAGGAGGGGUAGGGCUGGAAGACUCCCUUUCUCUUCUCUGCUCUCACUGCUCAUCUGCCUUUAUUAGGAGAAAGUGCAAACAGCAUAGUACAGUCUGUUUAUCCAGCCACUGGAAUGCAAAUGACUGAAACAAACCAGUCAUUUAGUACUGUUCUUUCAAGUCCGAACCCACAUCCACUAAUGUUAAGACCCUGCCUGAUGAACAAGAUUAAUAAGCACAGCUAGUUCACCAAUGUGACGUUCUGAAAUUGUGUGUAUUACAGUUUUUAGUGCUUCAAGAUUGAAGAUGUAGGGAACAUUUUGGGGUAAAAACAUUACAUCAAUGAGUGGAAAUUAAUCCUAGAUCACAGCAUGUGUUGAGUAGCUUCCAUGACUUCCAUGAUCCAGUGAUGCACAUAACUAUGUAAACUGUCCAAGGCUUUCUUUAAUCCUGAUAAAUCUAACUUGGUUGAGAUUUAUGCUCUUUCACCUUGUUUACAAUUACAACUACUGGUCUAGCCACAGCUUCCGUCCACAUUUACUUUGCUAAUCUGUAAAGCAUAUUCGGAAUUGUAACCAACUUCAAGAAAGCACCUGGUUCAUACUGUGCAGCAUUUCUGCUCCAUUAUCCUCUGAUUUCUCAAGAUACUGGAGCAGCAGCUUCACGGUGCAUGUUCAUAUAUGGCUAUUACACACUGAGCAGAUGUGAAAUGAUUUACAGCAGCUGAGCUACUUAUCCUUAAAAAAAAAUAAUAAUAAAAGAGUGAAGCUGGUGUAUUAGAACUACAAAAAUCCUCAUCUAUGUCAUUGUGUGACCCUGCAGACAUGAAUCUACAAAAUACAAAUGUGUAGGGAAUAAAACUAAUUUUAUAACUUUAUAACUAGCUACAUACGUACCCAUGCAUUCUCACACAGUAACCAUUUCCCUGUAUUUUUAUUUUACUGAUCCAUAUAAAAUCAGCAUCAUUGUUCUAAACAUAUGUGACAUACUGCCCUAUACUAAACUUGACUAGGGAGUCAGCAAAUGCAAUUGGUAAAGAAUGGAAAAGACUGAACUCAAAAGGUUAACUAUGGCCCAUAUAUAUGACCGUUUAUUUUGACAAAGCAGGCAGGUGCAACUAACUCAACAGCUGCAAUACUGGUGUCUGGCCAAAGGCCACCACAAAAACACACACACACACACACACACACAGUGAUGGAGUGUGUUAGUGCAUAAGUGGGUUUCCCAUAUACACUCACGAUAACCCAACAACACUAACUUCUCACUUCACAAAAUUACACAUGCAGUCAUUUCUGCAGAUGCUAAAGUGACAGUUACAAACAAGCCACUAUUGAAUUCAAUUUCAUUUGUAUAGUGCUUUUAACAAUGGACAAUAAAUUUUAAAUCUAUACAUUUAUCCCUAACGAACAGUGGCAAGGAAAAACUCAGACAACUUGAGUGAGAAACCUCAAGAGGAACCAGACUCAAAAGGGGAUUCAUCCUCACUUGAGUGACAGCAGACAGUACGAUUAUAAAUAAUAUAUGAUCUUCUAUAACCGUACACUAUAUAGUCAAAAAGACAAACCAAAAAUGUACAAAAAAAAAUCAGCUUUUACCCAAAAGGUAGUGUGUGUAACAAAUAUAUAUUCACCUUGGCUUUCUGCCUGCAAAGAUCACAUCUGGUUUAACAAAUGCAGCAGUAAAGACAAUCAGUUUGCCUAAAGAUGUCUAAAACCUCACUACCCAAGAGUGCCUUUCUCAUGAUUUCAUCAGGUGUUUUGGAUAGCCACAUGCCAUAGCAAAAUGGACAUAUACCUAAAUCAAUUCAGUUUGUAAUCAGAUACUGGCUGCCAAACUGACAGCAAUGUUCCUGCACCAUCACAGGCUUAUCAAAACGGAGAAGUGCAAACUUUGUGCAGAUGACAAGUAUUUGUCAGUCAACAGAACUGGAUGAAUUAAUCACAAAAGUCGAGUGAAGAGACUUUCAGUGGAAUUUGGUAUUGGAAUUUUUAGAUGCAAUUUUCACCAUUUUUACUUAUGAAGCUAACCCGACUUCACUUCUUGUGAAGACGCAUGUAAAAAUGUCAGAAUUUGACCAUGUUACAUGCACCAGUCAAUAGUAACUCUUGGAAUUCUGAGUGUGAUUUUGUUUGCAUUCUGCUAAUGACUCAUGUGACAGCCGAAGAAUUUUCUUUUACUUAAAAUAUCCUCAGCAUGUCCACUAUGUAAUCUUUUAAAUGCAGAGAUUAGGCAUAUAUUUUGGGAAUGGGAACAACUGGAAACAUUUUGGGAGGAAAUAUUUCUUCUAAAAACACUGUGGUAAAAGACCCUCGACUUGCUAGGUGAAGUUGAUUUGUAUAUAAAGAAAAUCGUGUUGAUGUUUACUACAGCUGUUACAAUGUGUAUAUUGUGAAACUGGUAAACAGUGAAGACACCAUCAAUACCACAGUGGUGGAACGAGUUACUGUCAGUCAACCAGAAAAAAAAAGUCAUGUGUAAUAUAAAGGGACAACCUGAAUAUUUUUGAUAAAAUAUGGAAUUAAAUUUUAAAUAUAGCUAAGGAAAAUAUGUGAUUAAUUGAAACUGAUAUAGAUCCAACAUCAUGUAUUGUGUAUAAAAGUAAAGAGAUGGACACGUACAUCAUCUUCUGUGGCUAUAUUGUUUUUUCUUUAUCUUACGCUCAGAAUAACAUAUCUGUAAAGGUAGGGGAUUGGGUUGUGUUUCAUUGUACUAUUGAAUUUGUAUAAUAAAGUAUUAAGGUUUUUAUUUAUUUUAAAAGUAUUUUCACUUGUCAAUAUAUGCCUGAUCCCACCGUGUAUGUACCACUUUGGCCAAAUUGGUCAAAUCUAUAUUUUAAUCAAAUAUACAAGCAUUUACUGGUCUGCUGACUUGCAGUGGUUCUCUAAACUGUAAGGUAUGCCAAACAAACAUACUGAGGAUGCCAAGCAUGGACAUGCCACCAAAACUCCAACUCUCGCCAAUUAGUUCCGGUUACACUGCAGCCCAUGACAGCUGAUUUCAGAGAAAAUCAGAAGUUUAAGAGGAACACAGAGUUCUAACCUCUAAUUUGUGAAAAGGAAACUAGAGCAGAGCAAACAGGUCAUUGAGACACCAUUACCUAAACAGAUUCAUUGCUAACCAUCUUCUCUAGACAGCAUGUACUGACAAUCGAUGCAAGAAAAAACAAUAAGUCUUAAAUACUGAUACAUCCACAACAGUUUUUCCUCUUCAAGGUUGAACAGCAAAAAAUCUAGACUAAAUUGACUGGUGACGUUUUGAGAAUUUGAGAUUGGUGUGAGAAUUUGGCGAACAUUAUAGCCACAUAGAUAAAAAAAUUUUAAACAAAGAAAAGUUUUAAAUGGGUUUUUAAAAAGAGGUACAACAUUGUGAGAAAUUAUUGGAAAGGACACACUUUGUUGAGCACAUUAUUGAUACUGCCUGCAUAAAUGGACUGAAAUAGUUAUAAAGAGCCUGUUACCCAUUGGUUUGGAUAAAAUUAAGACUGUAUAGCUACAAUUGGCUAAUUGGGCAUUGGUACCAGUAAUAUGUUUAUUUACAUUUUGAUAAAUGACCCAAACUUCAGCUUUUAGCCUCUCUCGUACAAAUUGUAUCCAUUUCAGCUUGGUAGCAAAGUACAAAAAGGCUAAAAGAAUUGAUAUAUGCAUGACAUUACAGUACAUGUACAGUACAAAUGAUGUUACAUGUUAUGUUACUGUAUAGAACAUUUCCCACCCCUAUACAUCUAACAUGGGAAAUAAAUCCAACACUGUUUGCUUUUAAAUGCAUCCAUACCAAGUAUGUAUCCAAAUCUAUAAAGCCUAGUAAACAUGCCUAGAAUAUAAUUUUAAAAACACCUGUGUUGAUGUACAGGCUCCGGUGUAAGGUCCAAGAUAACCACUCUUCCUGUCAGUCCAGCACACCGACUCUGGCAAAUUUACCUCAUUACACAGAGUUCAGUGAUCGAUAAUUAGAAAUAUUAAGUAGCAGACUAACAGAAAAGAAGUCUGUAAAAGAAAAUAUUAUUCCAGGGGGAGCUUCAGAAAUAUUCCGUAUUUAAGUUUUUCAGAUUGGCACGAUGCAGGUGAAGAGUACCUAUCGAGGUGGCAAAAGCUGCAGGUGGGAAGUUUCUGAAUUUCUCUCUCAGCGAACAGUAUUGGAGUUCCAGAAUGACACAAACUACUACCAAGGGACAGAGGCGGUAACAGGCAAGAGUGAGAGGCAGGAGAGUUAAGCUAACCCAGCAGGCUCCAUGUAUGGGCCUAAGAGAGGAACACAGUGAGAGGGGAAUCUGCCAUAAAUAGCCAAAGGAGUAGAGAGGGAGAGACAGAAUCAGCUGUCUAACAGCCCUGGGCAUGCAGGCUCACUAGGAGCACAUUUUCUAUUUCUGCGCUAAAAUGAGGAACUCAAUCACAAUUCUUAAUACUUUCUGGUUCUGCAGGUUCUCUUUAAUAAAAAACAAACAAAC